rnacentral:misc_RNA from 1 species
UUUUGCUAUUUAUUUUUUCUCAGACAUCACUAAUUAAACGAGUUUAGAUUGGACUCUGGCGGGCACUCGCCAGCUAAAAGCCAGCGGCGGGUUAGACCUGCUGGUCCGCCAAAGCAACAAUGGUAAGGUUCACAAUGGGUGGGAGACGCGUGGGCAGAGCCCUAAACGAAAUCUCGGUAAUGAUCCUUCCGCAGGUUCACCUACGGAAA